GAUGAACGCUGGCGGCGUGCCUAACACAUGCAAGUCGAACGAAGCAAUCGGAGGAAGUUUUCGGAUGGAAUCUGAUUGACUGAGUGGCGAAACGGGUGAGUAACGCGUGGAUAAACCUGCCUCACACUGGGGAUAAACAGUUAGAAAUGACUGCUAAUACCGCAUAAGCGCAACGCUACCGCAUGGUAGAGUGUGAAAAACUCCGGUGGUGUGAGAUGGAUCCGCGUCUGAUU
rnacentral:rRNA from 1 species